UACAGAGGGGGCAAGCGUUGUUCGGAAUUACUGGGCGUAAAGGGCGCGUAGGCGGCCUGCUAAGUCGAACGUGAAAUCCCCGAGCUCAACUCGGGAACUGCGUCCGAUACUGGCAGGCUUGAAUUCGGGAGAGGGAUGCAGAAUUCCAGGUGUAGCGGUGAAAUGCGUAGAUAUCUGGAGGAAUACCGGUGGCGAAGGCGGCAUCCUGGACCGACAUUGACGCUGAGGAGCGAAAGCUAGGGGAGCAAACGGG
rnacentral:rRNA from 1 species